AGAACAGUCGAGAACAGCAGCAUGAGUCACUUCCUCCGUUGGGCACAGCGCCAUCUAUAGGGGAAACGGCGGCAUACCGGCAAUGUGGACAUCAUAGUCAGGGUCCCAGCCUCCUUUCCCUGAGCGCAUCUGCUGGCAAAGGACAUUUGGAGAGCUGAUCUUCUUGGCUUCCGUGGGCUGUUUUUCUCUUCUCAAAGGGAAUGCUGAAGUCUGCCAUUAGGAUUUCCGUCGGCUCUCAGCUGGCUUCUUGUGCAUGGUAUGGAUUCAAUGAGAUGGCGCUCAUCAAAGUGCAGAUGUGCCAUGGGUUUUCUUCCAUCAAGCAAUAGUGAGUAUUGGAGAAAACAAGAGCAGGGAGAGGAUCCCUCAGAGCUGCCCCCCCCUCUGCCUGGGCUCUUUGCCCCCCACUCUGCACUCUCAGAUGAAGAGGAGCCUUCCCCUCGCAAGGAACUGACAGCCUGACUUUUGCAGUUUCAGCCGCUGGAGCGGGAGCUAGAUUCCUUGCUCCAGGUGACACAGAGCUGCCAGGCAGCUGCCCUGAGAGGCCUCCACACCCUUCAGGUGUCCAAGCACCGGACAGCGGAUGCCCUUCUGGAUCUCCAAAGCGACACCGUUGAAGAAAGCGGGGAGACCAAAAACCUGGCGGCCAGCUGCAUCUCUGCACUGCUGUCCUUUGCCCAAAGCUUUCCCCAGUUCGCAAUGACAGUAGUUCAGCCAGAGUUGGCCUGCUUCCGGCUGAAUCUGAAAGAAGGUAAGCCCCACACCUUGGAGACAGGGAACUCCCUUGUCCCUUCUUUGCCCAAGACUCACCUCCCAGGUUUUCUUGCUGAGAGUCCUGCAGGACCUGCUCCCUGCCUGGCAGGCCUUUCCCACCUGGCCUGGGAGGGCAUAACCCAGACUGACUCCAGCUACAAGAAGCGGAGGGGGCUGAACAGACUCUGGGGUUGGGGUCUUGUUGAGGGGUGCUUGCUAGCAGGGGUGCUUCCCGCUUCCUUUGCCCUCCAUGGUCUCCCUGCCUGAGCUGACAGAGCUGGUCUCACAGGCGGAGUUCAGGACUCCCUGACUGCUGGUGCUGGACGACUUCAAAAUCUGGGCCAAAGCAGCUGGCUCUGGGGUGCUCAGGACCAAUGGGGAGGGAUGAUGGGAAGUGUAGUCCAGGAGCUGCUGGGGACCCAGGUUGGGGAAACCCUGCUUUAAGGCAACUUUUAUGUUUGGCCUGCAAAGAUG